rnacentral:rRNA from 1 species
GGACGAACGCUGGCGGCGUGCCUAACACAUGCAAGUCGAGCGAGGAGAUUCCUUCGGGAUGAUCCUAGCGGCGGACGGGUGAGUAACACGUGGGCAACCUGCCUCAUAGAGAGGAAUAGCCUUCCGAAAGGGAGAUUAAUACCUCAUAACAUUGCAGUUUCGCAUGGAACAGCAAUUAAAGGAGUAAUCCGCUAUGAGAUGGGCCCGCGGCGCAUUAGCUAGUUGGUGAGGUAAUGGCUCACCAAGGCGACGAUGCGUAGCCGACCUGAGAGGGUGAUCGGCCACAUUGGGACUGAGACACGGCCCAGACUCCUACGGGAGGCAGCAGUGGGGAAUAUUGCACAAUGGGGGAAACCCUGAUGCCAGCAACGCCGCGUGAGUGAUGACGGCCUUCGGGUUGUAAAGCUCUGUCUUCAGGGACGAUAAUGACGGUACCUGAGGAAGGAAGCCACGGCUAACUACGUGCCAGCCGCCGC